AGCACUGCUCCUCUCACCAGACAAGGGAAAGCUCCUGUAUCACUGCCAAAUUGGGCAGCCAAAAUACAACAAAAUCCACCUGCAGAUUCUGCACUUCUGGCCUGAGAUUCUUUCACCCAGCCUGGCUGGAGCUGAACAUGGCCACUGCAUCCCCAGAUUUGCAAUUGAACUUCUCAUCCCACCUUGAUUUCCCCUGACAGCGUUGGAGAUAGAGGAUGUUUUGGGUCCUUGAGAUCAACAGCUCUGGGCUGACUUUUUAAAACCACCGGUGGAACAAUUCCUUUCCUUUCCUUUGCUC